UCUCCAGUGGCUCAGUUGGUAAAGAAUCUGCCUGCAAUGCAGGAGACCCAGGUUCGAUCCCUGGGUCGGGAA
rnacentral:tRNA from 1 species